CUGGGACACAGGCUCAUACAUGAAUGACCCAGCGUGACUGUACGAUGUGGUUGAAGUUUCCCCAGGAACACCGGUCGGGAGGACCAAGGUAAUUGCCUCCUUCCCAGAAGGGUUUGGAUGGGAUUCAUCAGUCUGGAAUGUUUAGGUACAAUUUUCCCUGGAGGUGGAGACCUGAACUUGGACUCUUCCCAGAUCAAUCUCACCCGGACAGAGAAGCCUGGAUGCAGCAUCAAUGCCAAGUGUUAGCCUCUUAAAUAGAGGGCCUAGCGGUAAAGAGCCCGGUGUGCUGGGAACAGACUUGGGAGCAGGCCUCACCUGGGCUCCAGGGCUGGCUCCAGGACCAAGGGAAAUGGAUUCACCUCUUGGCCCCAUAGAUUGAGCCCAAGGUCUAGGCAGGCCAAUCGGCACAUUCUGGCUCUCCCAGGGGCAGUGUCUGGUCAACUCAUUGGACGUGAGACUUCGACUCAACGUUGGCUGCACUUAGGAGACAUUAGAGCCGGCAAGGACCACGUCCAGCCCAAAGAGAUGGGCCCACCUUUGGCCCAAGACCGAGGGCAUGCUGGGAGAAAGGCACGGUUGCUGUCCUCUCUGGGGUCAAGCUGCUGGAUCCUUGGCUGGCUCCUUCCAGCUUGCUCUGGCCUCCCCCUGCUGCUUUGCCACCCAAGGCUCCGCUCCAUGUGUGUGAGAGGGUGAGUGGGGGUGGGGGCAUGGCUGGUCCCAGGCCAGCGUCGUGGCUCCGGUCUGAAAGUCCAGGCAUACCUAAGGCGUCUCUCAUGGCUCCCCAAUGCCAUAUUAGGCUGCCCCCUCUGAAGGGCGGAAUCUCUGACUCAUCCUCCCCCUCCCCCACACCCCCUCACUCUUGCCAGUUUGGGCCAAGAUUAGAAUUCACUCAAAUCUGUGGGUUCUAAGGUUUAUGUGCUAUUUCAG